AUUGCACGCUGUGAUGGCGUCUGCGGCGACUCGCGCCCCACAUAACGCACUUUGCUCGUCCUGCGGCAACAUUGUUUCUUUCUGAGGUACGACAGACGCAAAGUGCGAAGAGCAAAACUUUCUCUCCGACGGCCAAAUGCAUUGCUUUAUGUACAAGAACAAUAUCAGCUAGUGAUUAUCUGCAUCUUUCAAGUGAAGCACAUGCUGAAAUUGCGUAGCGGAUUGCACCAUUGCACCAGAGUAGAGGAAAUUCCUUGGUUCCCUUUUCUUCAGCUAACACCAAUAUUGGCUUUGGAGCUGUUGAGAGGGGAAUGAUGACUGUGAACUAAAGGAAAAUACUGCAAUUACAAUUCAGAAGUCUUGAUCCAGGUUCUCAGGUCUGCCCAAAUAUGCACCAUCUAAUGCUAAAUGUAUGCUUGACUAUGGGAUUACCUUUGUUUGUAAUUGGAAUGGAUAAAGAUUGAUGUCCAUGUCUUGCAUAUUCACACUGGAUGGAAUUCGUAAAUAACGCUGCUCCGGAUUCCACACAGAGCACUUCACUCUGAGCAUUACACUCACUUGCUCUGCUUACUUAUUUGAUGUUACUCAAGUAAGUACUGGAGUUCUGAAACUCAAAUGAUGAGUGUAAUUUAGCGAGCAUAAUGAAUCUGUAGCUGGU